rnacentral:rRNA from 1 species
AACGAACGCUGGCGGCGUGCCUAACACAUGCAAGUCGAACGAGAAAGGGGCUUCGGCUCCGAGUAAAGUGGCGCACGGGUGAGUAACACGUGGGUAACCUGCCUCUAAGAUUGGGAUAACUCGUCGAAAGAUGAGCUAAUACCGGAUAAGACCCCAGUUCCCGCGGGAACAGGGGUCAAAGGUAGCCUCUGCUUGCAAGCUAUCACUUAGAGAUGGGCCUGCGCACCAUUAGCUAGUUGGUAGGGUAACGGCCUACCAAGGCAAAGAUGGUUAGCUGGUCUGAGAGGAUGAUCAGCCACACUGGAACUGAGACACGGUCCAGACUCCUACGGGAGGCAGCAGUGGGGAAUAUUGCGCAAUGGGCGAAAGCUUGACGCAGCAACGCCGCGUGAGUGAUGAAGGCCUUCGGGUCGUAAAGCUCUGUCGGGAGGAACGAAUGCUCCCAAGGUUAACAGCCUCGGGAGGUGACGGUACCUUCAAAGGAAGCACCGGCUAACUCUGUGCCAGCCGCCGCCGUAAUAC